rnacentral:rRNA from 1 species
UUGGGAAUAUUGCACAAUUGGCGCAAGCCUGAUGCAGCCAUUCCGCGUGUAUGAAGAAGGCCUUCGGGUUGUAAAGUACUUUCAGCGGGGAUGAAGGGAGUAAAGUUAAUACCUUUGCUCAUUGACGUUACCCGCAGAAGAAGCACCGGCUAACUCCGUGCCAGCAGCCGCGGUAAUACGGAGGGUGCAAGCGUUAAUCGGAAUUACUGGGCGUAAAGCGCACGCAGGCGGUUUGUUAAGUCAGAUGUGAAAUCCCCGGACUCAACCUGGGAACUGCAUCUGAUACUGGCAAGCUUGAGUAACGUAGAGGGGGGUAGAAUUCCAGGUGUAGCGGUGAAAUGCGUAGAGAUCUGGAGGAAUACCGGUGGCGAAGGCGGCCCCCUGGAAGAAGACUGACGCUCAAGUGCGAAAGCGUGGGGAGCAAACAGG